CCCCUAUGUUCUAUUUUUAGCCGUGGCGGCCAUCUUGGUUGGAUGGCCGGGUCAUCGGACACAUUUUUUAAACUAGAUACCCCAAAGAUGAUUGUGGCCAAGUUUGGAUUAAUUUGGCCUAGUUGUUUCAGAGGAGAGGAUUUUUGUAAAAGAUUACUAAGAUUUACGAAAAAUGGUUAAAAAUUGACUAUAAAGGGCAAUAACUCCUUAAGGGGUCAACUGACCAUUUUGGUCAUGUUGACUUAUUUGUAAAUCUUACUUUGCUGAACUUUAUUGCUGUUUACAG
rnacentral:lncRNA from 1 species